rnacentral:rRNA from 1 species
AGCGUCCUGUACUAUUUAUAGGAGGUGAAACCUGCCCAGUGACUUACGAGUUUAACGGCCGCGGUACCCUGACCGUGCUAAGGUAGCAUAUAAUAUGCCCUUUAAUUGGGGGCUAGUAUGAAUGGACAAACGAGGGCUGAGCUGUCUCUUUUUUACUAAAAUAAAUUUUCAUUUGGGUGAAAAGACCCAAAUUCUGUUAAAAGACAAAAAGACCCCGUAGAGCUUUAUUAUAAAACUAAUAAGAAAAGAAAUAAAAUGAUCUUUACUUAUAAGUCUAACAAUUUUGCUGGGGCGGCAAAGGAGCAAUAAAACCUCCUUUUCAUUUAUAGGAUUUCAAUCCUCUAUAUGAUCCUUUUAAAGAUUAUAGAAAAAAGUUACCUCGGGGAUAACAGGCUUAUAUUUCUCAAGAGUACAAAUCGAAAGAAAUGUUUGGCACCUCGAUGUUGGCUUAGGGGACCCUUAGGGUAGCAGAAGCUCUAAAUGGCAGGUUUGUUCAACCUUUAAACCCCU